AGUGAACGCUGGCGGUAGACCUAACACAUGCAAGUCGAACGGCAGCACAGUAAGAGCUUGCUCUUACGGGUGGCGAGUGGCGGACGGGUGAGGAAUACAUCGGAAUCUACUUUUUCGUGGGGGAUAACGUAGGGAAACUUACGCUAAUACCGCAUACGACCUACGGGUGAAAGCAGGGGAUCUUCGGACCUUGCGCGAUUGAAUGAGCCGAUGUCGGAUUAGCUAGUUGGCGGGGUAAAGGCCCACCAAGGCGACGACCCGUAGCUGGUCUGAGAGGAUGAUCAGCCACACUGGAACUGAGACACGGUCCAGACUCCUACGGGAGGCAGCAGUGGGGAAUAUUGGACAAUGGGCGCAAGCCUGAUCCAGCCAUACCGCGUGGGUGAAGAAGGCCUUCGGGUUGUAAAGCCCUUUUGUUGGGAAAGAAAAGCAGCAGGUUAAUACCCCGCUGUUCUGACGGUACCCAAAGAAUAAGCACCGGCUAACUUCGUG
rnacentral:rRNA from 1 species